UAGUUUAGAGAAGCGUUUUCGGCUCUUUGGUUGGUACAAGUUCUUUGGAACAAGACAUCAUAGAGGGUGAAAAUCCCGUCUUUGACCAAUCUUGCGGCUUUGUGAUACGUUUUCCAAGAGUCGGUUUGUUUGGGAAUGCAGACCAAAAAGGGAGGUAAAUACCUUCUAAAGCUAAAUAUUGGCGAGAGACCGAUAGCGAACAAGUACCGUGAGGGAAAGAUGAAAAGAACUUUGAAAAGAGAGUGAAACAGUACGUGAAAUUGUCAAAAGGGAAACGUUUGAAAGCAGUAUUGCGGCCAGGAUGUCAGCCUCGGUGUACUGUCCUGGUGGCGAGUCAACAUCAGUUCGGUUUGGAGCAAAAAGCCGUGUGAAGGUAGCCCUUUGGGUAUUAUAGCGCAUGGUCGUACUCUAGACGGGACUGAGGACAGCAGCGUUUUUGGCUUUGCACACUCGCGCUUGGGAUGUUGACGAAAUGGUUUUAAGCGACCCGUCUUGAAACACGGACCAAGGAGUCUAACAUAUAUGCAAGUAUUUGGGUGGCAAACCCUUGUGCGCAAUGAAAGUGAAAAGGUGGGAUCAUUGAGCACCAUCGACCGCGCCAGAUUCCGAUCUCGGCGUGAGUAUGAGCAUAGAUGCUGGGACCCGAAAGAUGGUGAACUAUGCCUGAAUAGGGUGAAGCCAGAGGAAACUCU
rnacentral:rRNA from 1 species